GAUGAACGCUGGCGGCGUGCCUAAUACAUGCAAGUCGAGCGAACAGACGAGGAGCUUGCUCCUUUGACGUUAGCGGCGGACGGGUGAGUAACACGUGGGUAACCUACCUAUAAGACUGGGAUAACUUCGGGAAACCGGAGCUAAUACCGGAUAAUAUUUCGAACCGCAUGGUUCGAUAGUGAAAGAUGGCUCUGCUAUCACUUAUAGAUGGACCUGCGCCGUAUUAGCUAGUUGGUAAGGUAACGGCUUACCAAGGCAACGAUACGUAGCCGACCUGAGAGGGUGAUCGGCCACACUGGAACUGAGACACGGUCCAGACUCCUACGGGAGGCAGCAGUAGGGAAUCUUCCGCAAUGGGCGAAAGCCUGACGGAGCAACGCCGCGUGAGUGAUGAAGGUCUUGGAUCGUAAAACUCUGUUAUUAGGGAAGAACAAACGUGUAAGUAACUGUGCACGUCUUGACGGUACCUAAUCAGAAAGCCACGGCUAACUACGUG
rnacentral:rRNA from 1 species